rnacentral:rRNA from 1 species
AGAUUGAACGCUGGCGGCAUGCCUUACACAUGCAAGUCGAACGGCAGCACGGGAGCAAUCCUGGUGGCGAGUGGCGAACGGGUGAGUAAUAUAUCGGAACGUGCCCAGUAGUGGGGGAUAGCCCGGCGAAAGCCGGAUUAAUACCGCAUACGACCCAAGGGUGAAAGCGGGGGAUCGCAAGACCUCGCGCUAUUGGAGCGGCCGAUAUCAGAUUAGCUUGUUGGCGGGUAAAAGCCCACCAAGGCGACGAUCUGUAGCUGGUCUGAGAGGACGACCAGCCACACUGGGACUGAGACACGGCCCAGACUCCUACGGGAGGCAGCAGUGGGGAAUUUUGGACAAUGGGCGCAAGCCUGAUCCAGCCAUGCCGCGUGUGGGAAGAAGGCCUUCGGGUUGUAAACCACUUUUGUCAGGGAAGAAACGGUCUGACCUAAUACGUUGGACUAAUGACGUACCUGAAGAAUAAGCACCGGCUAACACGUAGCCAGCAGCCG